AUAGUCCAUACGUAAUCCAAGAGCGUGCACUCGUGCACGCGCGCGCCCUCCGGCUUUCCGUACAGGUCUCACGUCGUCUGCAGGGGAGACUGUGAUAACGUGGAGCGAUUUCUUAUAAGAAGUUCCAGGAACUUCGCCUCUGCGACGGCAGAGAUAUUGGGGGUUUCUUAGAUCACACUGAUCAUCACAGCUUCAAAACUAAGAUAUAUACCGACGGGUAUAUGGAGAGAGAGAGAGAGAGAGAUAAUAACGGAAAAAAUAUUUGCUAACGGAAAGAGUCCGGUUCGAGCAAUAAAUAAGUAAAGACAGAAGCGCAAGAGGCGCAGUAUUUUUGCAGCGGGUUAUCAAGUGGCAUGCCCCAUUGACUCAUUCCAUCAUAUCAGCGAAGGGAAGAGAAAACUGUAAGCCCUACCAAAUUGCUGUAUGUGGACUCGCCCUCACAGUUUACAACUAACUACUGACAGAACACUUUGAAGGUGCAUGGAGAAUGAUCCCACAAUGCAUUGCAUUUCCUGUAC